AGGGGGAGAGGGACCUGGGGAGGGGGAGCCAACCAUCUGGAAGCAUGCGUUGUCGACUUAGUCGUCUUAAAGAAUAAGUCACUGUGGGAUAGCCGGUUAUUUUUUACACAGAGGGCGCUGCAGAGAUGGCGUGUGCUCCAACGACACAGAGAUCAACAAAAAGUGCUUUCUGUAUCGUUAGACUUUCGUUUUUUUGAAGAAAAGAAUAUUCCCUACAUCAUUCCGGAGUUGUUGUUGCUGUAGUUGAGCAUUAACUGUAGAUGACCACUAGAGGGCAGGGCUCCGUCUGUCUCUCUGCCCUCCUUUUUAAAUCAUGUAUUUUUUAUUUUAUUUAAUAGAUGCUGAGACCACUUAUUUGACCUAGGCGACAUUUGAUCUGGGGGACUAUGUUAUGUGCUUUCUUGUGGAGAUGAAUGUAGUGCUGGUUUGCGCUUUCAGAACAAUGUUUAAGAAUUCCCCCCCCCCGCCUACUUGCAAUUGUGACAGUUUUCGACCAGGUCCUGUACAUGGUGAAUAGUUGAGAAGGACAAUUAAUUUGCUUCUUCCUCCAUGAAGCCUGUGAGCCACACACUGCAUACAUUUAUUAUAUACUGUCCACAGUCUAGGAACAGUUUUAGUAGCCUCCGUGGAACCACUGGCUUGGAAUAUCCCUCACCUGAAAAGACCUGCCUGUGCCGUCACUGAACUCCUGACAGACGAGGAUACUCACUCCGUCACUGAAACAGCUACUCCGGUUGCUGACUACUUGGAUGCUGUAAAACACUCUUCGUAUGUGAAAUGGAAUUGGGACUGGGAUAUGGAACAGAUCAUGAUAUUUCUUUUGUGGGGAAACUGACUGGGAGUAAUACAUGAGGAAUGUCUUUGCUUGGCCUUAAUUAGCCUAGCCAGGAUGUGAGAUAGUGGGUCAGGAGGCAGAGUGGUAAUGUCAGGUCACCAAAACAUGUGUUGAGGCCAUGGUCAGGGUUUGGGGAGGUGCUGUUGGGAGUGAUGCCCUAUUCCCCAAAGUGCGCUACAUACUAGUGGUGCACUAUAUACAAAGGAUAUAGCGUGUGAUUUGAGAUGCAGCCUGUCAGACUCCGCCCCUUCCACUCAAGACUCCGAGCAGGUUUAGGCCUGGUCUCUGGGCCCCUUCCACUCAAGACUCCGAGCAGGUUUAGGCCUGUUCUCUGGGCCCCUUCCACUCAUGUUGGUAAGAUUUUAAAGGGCUUCUCCCUCAACUCAGCCACUGGUGACUAGAAAACACUCACAAAACAGUUUGAGAUUAAAAAGGGGUUUAUGUCUGUCUAACAUUUUUGUUUAAGUGUGGGAAAACAACCAUAGUUUGCCUUUUUGUGUAUAAAAAUCAUAUUUUUUAGACAUCAAUCUAGGCUUUUCACUCUCUUUUUGUGUUGGGAUAGUGUUUCAUGCAUGGACUCUUUGCUCUACGCUGGGGGGGACUGAGCUGUUAAGUGCCAUAGACCUUGAACUGUUUGAACAAGGGGGUGGAGGGAGUGACUACCCUGAGACCCAAGCAAUAUUCACAUAUUUCUCUUCACAACAAACUAAACGCUCUCUUCUUGAGUACACCCCGUGUGACUCGACACAAUGGUUUAAUAGCAAUAGUCAGCGGCUUUAUUUUCAUUCAGAAAGACAUCCAAUUGCAUUUUUUUUAAGACCUUAUAAAAGGAACAAAACGCAAGAAGAAACCCUUUUAGUGAUCGCUGAUUGUUAUACAGGAUUUUAUAUUGUAAAGAAUCUUUUCUAAUGAAAAAACAACAUGGGGAGUUACUUUUUUAGCAAAGAAAGUAAAAUGUAAAAGUCUGCAUUGUACAAUAGUGAAUGCUCUUGCCUCACUCAGCCCUCGGCUUAUAUAUGAGUUGCAGGCUUUCCCAAACUUGCCUGCUCGGAAAACUGUUCAAACCAACUGGUUACGUGUAUCUGUGCAAACAUUAAUAACUUUUACCCCAGUGUAAAAGAAACUCAAUCCGAGCUGCAAAGUCAUUUGUAAUGUUUCUAAUUGAAUAGUUAUAAAAAUGCAUUUAAAACCUUUUAUGUCCACUUGGUGUAAUCAACAGUCUGUAGAUGUAUGUGUUGUUUGCAUGAAUUCACCCAAUGAAUUGUCUAUUUUGAAAAUUGAAUCCAUGAAACCUUUUAGAAAUAUUUCCUAUAGAAAGCAAACGAUCCAAUUCAAAGAUCUCUACAAGUUAUUACCCCACUGAACCUUUUUUGUAAAUCGAUUGUAAUGCAAACACUGAAUUGUGACAGAGCGUAUAUAAAGUGCUUAUCAGAGAUUGAUCAUUGUUUUUUCCCACACAUUUAAUGGCAAUGUCGUUAUCCAAAUCCUUCGCAAAUUCCAAAAGGUAUGCAUGUAAUUCAUUGUUACUUAAUGCGUACAGCUAAAGAUUAUACUCGUGUUAGUCAACUUGUGACUCGAAUAGAAAACAUUGUCAAUGUUUGCUCCCCUUUUUUCCAUUUUGAAUUCCAACUGAACAUUGCCCCCAAAUGAAACUGUACCAUUUUUUUUUUAGCAACUGCAGACCCAGUGGCACGCUCAUAACUGCAGAUAUUUGUCAUUGGUCAAUGUUAGCCUAGAGGGGUAACAUAUUGACUUGUUAAUGUUUCUCUCCUGCAUGUCCCCCCUGCAACAUCAUGUUUUAAAGUAGAACAUUGUAAUUAUGCUUUGGUGCUGUUUUGUUGUGGGCAUUGUGUUGUUUUACUUUCUUUCUGGGAAUAGGAACAAUCUAAUGAGAUUUCUUGGGUCAAUGUCAUAUUUAGACCUUGUACAAUCUGGGACUAAAACCUAGGGGGUCACCUGUCUGCCAUAUCCAAGAUAAACUGGUCUUCUCUUCAUUCUCCCACCUUGUUUUUAUUUAUUUAGCUCAGUCUCCUGUGACUUUUUAGACAUUACUAAUCAAAAUGUAAAUACUUUUUUUUUUUAAAGUUAAGAAAUCAAUGAAUCAUGGCAUUAGUCACUCAGAGUUUGUAAAACCAGCAAUAAAUUGCAACGCAGACACAACCCGUUUAAUGUAUAGCUAUUUCAAAGGUUUCUCUGGAAACGGCUACAGUAAGAUGAUUGAUAUGCAUUCAUUCAACAUUCCAGAUUUUGUAUAUAACUGUUUCUGAGUUAACCUGUGGAAAAUAAGAAAUAAACUAAUGCUCUUUA